UACGUAGGGUGCGAGCGUUAAUCGGAAUUACUGGGCGUAAAGCGCACGUAGGCGGUUUUUUAAGUCAGAUGUGAAAGCCCCGGGCUCAACCGGGGAAUUGCAUUUGAAACUGGGAAACUAGAGUGUGUGAGAGGGGGGUAGAAUUCCAAGUGUAGCGGUGAAAUGCGUAGAGAUUUGGAGGAAUACCAGUGGCGAAGGCGGCCCCCUGGCACAACACUGACGCUCAGGUGCGAAAGCGUGGGGAGCAAACAGG
rnacentral:rRNA from 1 species